UACGUAGGGUGCAAGCGUUGUCCGGAAUUAUUGGGCGUAAAGAGCUCGUAGGCGGUUUGUCGCGUCGAAUGUGAAAACCCGGGGCUCAACCCCGGGCCUGCAUUCGAUACGGGCAGACUAGAGUUCGGUAGGGGAGUCUGGAAUUCCUGGUGUAGCGGUGAAAUGCGCAGAUAUCAGGAGGAACACCGAUGGCGAAGGCAGUUCUCUGGGCCGUAACUGACGCUGAGGAGCGAAAGCGUGGGGAGCGAACAGG
rnacentral:rRNA from 1 species